AAUUAAUGUAAUAAGACAUCUUAUGUA
rnacentral:piRNA from 1 species